UGUAUACGCGGCCCAUAUCUGAUUUAUACAUAGUUUUUCCGCAGUGAUUUCUGACGUCGGCUAUGAGAGCGUGAAAAGGCAUCAGGGUCCACGCGCACCAGGUGCAUAUGAUAUUCGGUUGAAUAAUCAAAGAACAAUACUCGGAGAUCGGACCAAUGUGGAGGCCUGUGGUAGUUAUGUGCCUAUCGUGAAUAGUGUGAAACAGUGGACCCCUGGAUCAAACCGUCUAACCAAGAAAAACCUUAAAAGACCGAACCGUGCUCUGCCUCUACCCUGCUCGCCGCUAACAGUGGUGCAACAGCAGAUCCCGUAUAAAAAGGGACGCAAGGACACCGCUGAUAGUGUUUUAGCUCCAGAGAAUUAUAACUUGGUUCUCCAGGCAGUUAUAAACCCACAAAUCGCGCAGCC